GACGAACGCUGGCGGCGUGCUUAACACAUGCAAGUCGAACGGAAAGGCCCUGCUUGCAGGGUGCUCGAGCGGCGAACGGGUGAGUAACACGUGGGUGAUCUGCCCCUUAUUUUGGGAUAAGCCUGGGAAACUGGGUCUAAUACUGGAUAGGACCAUGCUGUAGGUGGUGUGGUGGAAAGAUUAGUUUCGGUAAGGGAUGAGCUCGCGGCCUAUCAGCUUGUUGGUGGGGUAAUGGCCUACCAAGGCGUCGACGGGUAGCCGGCCUGAGAGGGUGGACGGCCACAUUGGGACUGAGAUACGGCCCAGACUCCUACGGGAGGCAGCAGUGGGGAAUAUUGCACAAUGGGCGCAAGCCUGAUGCAGCGACGCCGCGUGGGGGAUGACGGCCUUCGGGUUGUAAACUCCUUUCAGCCAUGACGAAGCCCUUGUGGUGACGGUAGUGGUAGAAGAAGCACCGGCUAACUACGUG
rnacentral:rRNA from 1 species